ensembl:lncRNA
GGAACUGAAGUCUUAGCUUUGUCUAAGUGCCUGUGCAGACCCCUCCAAGAACUUUUCUUAAAAUAGCAGUGUUGAGCACUGGCGAUUCUGGGCCUGGUGUCCAUUGGUAUAGUUAUCGAAACUUUAUUUCUGAGUAAGUAAAACUUUGCAGUGGGGAGGACAUGCCAGAGAAAUGCGGCUGGAGAUCAGUAGCAUGCCUUUUAAAAGCUUUCCAUUGAGCAUGGGGCCUGCCUAAGCAGCUGCUGGCAGAGAAAUAAAUACACUGAUUACCUGGUAUAAGAGAAAAACCUUUAAAAUUUAUUCAAAACUUGCAGUAUGCUUCAAAAGGGUGUUAUUUCUACACCCUAAUGUUAGUUUACAGACAACAGGCCACCACUCAGUCAAUUCUGAGUGUAUUAGUGUAGUGGAAUUGCUAAGUCAUGGCUUUGAACCAGUGAUUGAGCACCUGGUGGGAGGGCAGGGCCAGCCCAGAGGAGCUCAGGUGCAAGUGAUUAGAAGGAGUGGAGCCAGGAUCCAUCCCUUCCCAGAUCGCAUUUAAGGGUUGGCACUGGAAGUGUGGGUAUCUUGCUGGAGGUUCCUGCGUACCUGAAGCCUUCCAAAGGACAAGUAGAGGCUGAAUUGCGUCUGUCCCAGAGGAACCAUGAAUUAAGUCUCUGCAAUCAGUGACAGUUCUGACUUCGGAAACGGGCACGAGCUGGUUUUUCCAAGCGAUCGAGUUACCACAGUUUAAGAGAUUUUCAAAAGCAAUUGCAACAGCCUGAGAGCAUCCACACAGGAAGUUACAGCUCAGCUGGCGCAUGGCAAACCGUGAAGCUGCGUGUUUUCCAGCUAUGCACAUCUCUCCUUUAUCAUUGGACUUGUGAUGGCUCAGUGAUUAUACAGUACUUCAAAAAUCGGAACUUGGCCAAAUUACUUCUCCUUCAUGCCAUUUAGACAGAAGGCUUUCAUAAAAAUUAAACAUGUCCCUGCAUGCCUGAGGUAGGUUGGAAGAAGGAUUCCUUCCACAAGCAGAGUUUUGCAUGCUCUCCUCUUCUGCCUGGCCUCCCCCAGCGGCUGAGAAGUGCACUGGCUGCCAAGCCCCGGGCUUGCAGCACUGAAUGACGUUGUACAGGCUCCAAUCAAGUACCCAGGGGUAGCAGCAUUCUGUUGCUUUCAACCUCUCUUGGAUUUGAAGCGGGGAUACUGAAGACUUGCCAGUAAGAAGCUCCGUAGACUCACCUUGUGUAUGCUGAGAUAGAUGAAACUGGCAAGGGUAGCUGCUGUUUCCCCUCUCUUAACAGUUUAUGACAUCCUUUUGAAGCAUAACAUGUGGUGCUGUGCUCUUCUGCAGGAGCCAGUCCUAUCUCCUUCCCCCACUUCCUUUCUGCUGUUGUUCUGGUAACUGACCACUUAUCGCACUUAUGAUCUUUGUAAUUGAAACUGAGAAAGCCUGUGGCAGGUAAGCCCUGCGUCUGCGUGUGCCUGCUCUGAUUUCUUCCCUCAGCCCUAAAACCACAGCCCUUCCCCCUUUCCCAGUAACAGCAAACCCUAAGCCCAAAUAACUCGCAGAAGCCUGAUGCUAGUGUAUAUUUGAUUUUGUUUGCAAGCUUAUCUUGUGACCGGCUCUCAGCGUGGGAAGAAGCAGGGAGUGGGGGAGAUGGAGAGAGAGUUGUUGCAACAUAUUUUAACAUAUGUGCUUUAGGCCUCUUGGUGGACUCCCUCUUGGGAAGAGGGGAGGGAGCGUGCCCCUAAGCAGUUGGUUGGCUUUGCUUGUUUCUAUAGCAGCCCGAAUGAGAAAAAUCAUGUUUUAACACUAAUAUAUU